AUAUAUGUGUGUGUGUGUGUAUGUAUAUAUACCAUUGUAAGCACAUAAAUUGGAAACAAGGUGGAAAAAAUAGUACUCGAAUACCGGAGGUAGAGUAAUAU